AACGUAGGAGACAAACGUUAUCCGGAGUUACUGGGCGUAAAGGGCGUGUAGGUGGUUUCGUAAGUCUGGCGUGAAAUCUCUCGGCUCAACCGGGAGAGGUUGUCCGAUACUGCUGGACUUGAGGGCAGUAGAGGGUGGUGGAAUUCCGGGUGUAGUGGUGAAAUGCGUAGAUAUCGGGAGGAACACCGUUGGCGAAGGCGACUUUCUGGGCUGCUACUGACGCUGAGGCGCGAAAGUCAGGGGAGCGAACAGG
rnacentral:rRNA from 1 species